rnacentral:rRNA from 1 species
UUGAAAGGGAAACGAUUGAAAUCAGUCGUACCAGCGGGAAAUCAACCUUUCGAGUGGGGGUUUUGGAGUUUUGAAGAGUGUCAAAACCUUUGAGAUUUCAAAAUAUUCGCUCUUUUGGUGUACUUUCUCGUGGGUAGGUUAACAUCGAUUUUGACCAUCAUAAAAAGAUUGGAGGAAUGUAGCUUCGAUCUUGUAUUGAAGUGUUAUAGCCUUUGGUAAAUGUGAUGAUUAGGAUCGAGGAUUGCAACGAAUACCCUUUUGGGCUAUCCGCCUGAUCUCUGAUACGUGGCCUUGGUAUCGAAAGCGUGCUUAUGGUAUUGAGGUAUUACGGUCAAAAGGUUAGAACGGAUUACAUUCGUUAAGGAUGUUGACGUA